rnacentral:piRNA from 1 species
UCGGAAUCCUGCAUGUGGUAGCCUGACCGGC